rnacentral:rRNA from 1 species
ACGGUGCGCGAAUCCCAAAAAUAACGUCUCAGUUCGGAUUGUAGUCUGCAACUCGACUACAUGAAGCUGGAAUCGCUAGUAAUCGCGGAUCAGAAUGCCGCGGUGAAUACGUUCCCGGGUCUUGUACACACCGCCCGUCACACCAUGGGAGCCGGUAAUACCCGAAGUCAGUAGUCCAACCGCAAGGAGGGCGCUGCCGAAGGUAGGAUUGGCGACUGGGGUGAAGUCGUAACAAGGUACC